rnacentral:rRNA from 1 species
UACGGGGGGGGCAAGCGUUGUUCGGAAUUACUGGGCGUAAAGGGCUCGUAGGCGGCCAACUAAGUCGGAUGUGAAAUCCCCAGGCUUAACCUGGGAACUGCAUCCGAUACUGGAUGGCUUGAAUCCGGGAGAGGGGUGCGGAAUUCCAGGUGUAGCGGUGAAAUGCGUAGAUAUCUGGAGGAACACCGGUGGCGAAGGCGGCCCACUGGAUCGGUACUGACGCUGAGGUGCGAAAGCGUGGGGAGCAAACAGG